GACGAACGCUGGCGGCGUGCUUAACACAUGCAAGUCGAACGGAAAGGCCCUGCUUUUGUGGGGUGCUCGAGUGGCGAACGGGUGAGUAACACGUGAGUAACCUGCCCUUGACUUUGGGAUAACUUCAGGAAACUGGGGCUAAUACCGGAUAGGAGCUCCUGCUGCAUGGUGGGGGUUGGAAAGUUUCGGCGGUGGGGGAUGGACUCUCGGCUUAUCAGCUUGUUGGUGGGGUAGUGGCUUACCAAGGCUUUGACGGGUAGCCGGCCUGAGAGGGUGACCGGCCACAUUGGGACUGAGAUACGGCCCAGACUCCUACGGGAGGCAGCAGUGGGGAAUAUUGCACAAUGGGCGGAAGCCUGAUGCAGCAACGCCGCGUGCGGGAUGACGGCCUUCGGGUUGUAAACCGCUUUCGCCUGUGACGAAGCGUGAGUGACGGUAAUGGGUAAAGAAGCACCGGCUAACUACGUG
rnacentral:rRNA from 1 species